rnacentral:ncRNA from 1 species
CCCGACAAAGGCAUAACCAGGGCAACCUGGCGACGCAAAGUCACGGGCCCCAAACAGGGUCGCCGGACUGCCGAAG